ensembl:snRNA U6 U6 spliceosomal RNA
GCUUGCUUUGCAGGGCAUAUGCUAAAGUUGGAAUGAUACAGAGAAGGUUAGCAUGGCCACUGUGCAGAGAUGACAUAGAAAUUCAUGACAUGUUUCAUAUUAAG